rnacentral:rRNA from 1 species
AAAUUGAAGAGUUUGAUCAUGGCUCAGAUUGAACGCUGGCGGCAGGCCUAACACAUGCAAGUCGAACGGUAACAGGAAGCAGCUUGCUGCUUCGCUGACGAGUGGCGGACGGGGGAGUAAUGUCUGGGAAACUGCCUGAUGGAGGGGGAUAACUACUGGAAACGGUGGCUAAUACCGCAUAACGUCGCAAGACCAAAGAGGGGGACCUUCGGGCCUCUUGCCAUCAGAUGUGCCCAGAUGGGAUUAGCUUGUUGGUGAGGUAACGGCUCACCAAGGCGACGAUCCCUAGCUGGUCUGAGAGGAUGACCAGCCACACUGGAACUGAGACACGGUCCAGACUCCUACGGGAGGCAGCAGUGGGGAAUAUUGCACAAUGGGCGCAAGCCUGAUGCAGCCAUGCCGCGUGUAUGAAGAAGGCCUUCGGGUUGUAAAGUACUUUCAGCGGGGAGGAAGGUGUUG